UUGUGAGGGCUCUUUCUUAUUUUAUUUCUUUUCCCCCAGAUGAAGUUAACCUGAAAACGACACUCGUGAGCUCCACCUGCUACCAGAGAAAGCCUGCAAAGAUGGAUCAUUAACAGAAGCCGUGAAAAACAUAUGCGUAUUUGUCAGCAGACAAAAGGUGCACCACUGCCAGUUCAGAGUGACUUCACCUUGGCCUGUGGGUUUUUUUUUCGGUUUUAUAUCAGCAUAAGCAAGACCAGAAUCAGACUCUGGUUACUCUCCGAUAUGUUGAACCAGUUUUG